rnacentral:rRNA from 1 species
CCUACGGGGGGCAGCAGUGAGGAAUAUUGGUCAAUGGACGAGAGUCUGAACCAGCCAAGUAGCGUGAAGGAUGACUGCCCUAUGGGUUGUAAACUUCUUUUAUAUGGGAAUAAAAUGUUCCACGUGUGGGAUUUUGUAUGUACCAUAUGAAUAAGGAUCGGCUAACUCCGUGCCAGCAGCCGCGGUAAUACGGAGGAUCCGAGCGUUAUCCGGAUUUAUUGGGUUUAAAGGGAGCGUAGGUGGAUUGUUAAGUGAGUUGUGAAAGUUUGCGGCUCAACCGUAAAAUUGCAGUUGAAACUGGCAGGCUUGAGUACGGUAGAGGUGGGCGGAAUUCGUGGGGUAGCGGUGAAAUGCUUAGAUAUCACGAAGAACUCCGAUUGCGAAGGCAGCUCACUGGACUGCAACUGACACUGAGGCUCGAAAGUGUGGGUAUCAAACAGGAUUAGAUACCCCAGUAGUC